rnacentral:rRNA from 1 species
AACACAUGCAAGUCGAGCGAAGCCUUCGGGUUUAGCGGCGGACGGGUGAGUAACGCGUGGGAAUAUGCCCUUUGGUACGGAACAGUCCCGGGAAACUGGGUUUAAUACCGUAUGUGGUCCUUCGUAGUGGAUACGGGGGACGAAAGAUUUAUCGCCAAAGGAUUAGCCCGCGUUGGAUUAGGUAGUUGGUGGGUAACGGCCUACCAAGCCGACGAUCCAUAGCUGGUUUGAGAGGAUGAUCAGCCACACUGGGACUGAGACACGGCCCAGACUCCUACGGGAGGCAGCAGUGGGGAAUCUUAGACAAGUGGGGGCAACCCUGAUCUAGCCAUGCCGCGUGAGUGAUGAAGGCCGUUAGGGUUGUAAAGCUCUUUCAGCUGGGAAGAUAAUGACGGUACCAGCAGAAGAAGCCCCGGCUAACUCCGUG